rnacentral:rRNA from 1 species
GAUGAACGCUGGCGGCGUGCCUAAUACAUGCAAGUCGAGCGAACAGAUGAGGAGCUUGCUCCUCUGACGUUAGCGGCGGACGGGUGAGUAACACGUGGAUAACCUACCUAUAAGACUGGGAUAACUUCGGGAAACCGGAGCUAAUACCGGAUAAUAUAUUGAACCGCAUGGUUCAUUAGUGAAAGACGGUUUUGCUGUCACUUAUAGAUGGAUCCGCGCCGCAUUAGCUAGUUGGUAAGGUAACGGCUUACCAAGGCAACGAUGCGUAGCCGACCUGAGAGGGUGAUCGGCCACACUGGAACUGAGACACGGUCCAGACUCCUACGGGAGGCAGCAGUAGGGAAUCUUCCGCAAUGGGCGAAAGCCUGACGGAGCAACGCCGCGUGAGUGAUGAAGGUCUUCGGAUCGUAAAACUCUGUUAUUAGGGAAGAACAAAUGUGUAAGUAACUAUUCACGUCUUGACGGUACCUAAUCAGAAAGCCACGGCUAACUACGUG